AGUGUAUCUGAGCACUAGGUCAGGAGAUUAGAUUAGGAGAUUAGGUUUUUAGUAGAGAUAUUAUAAUUUGCACCUUGAGCCCGCUGUGAUCAGGGGAAAUCCUGGGAACAGAAGCAGCCUGACUCCUGCAUGAAGAAGUGUCAGCCCUUCUGCUGUUAGUGAGGAGUGCAGAUUCAUCUUUGAACUUGAGGACCAUCUGCAGAUUUGUGUAGGCGCGACCAGGCGGCUCUGCGCACUGCUCCUGCCUGCAGGUGCUCCCACAACUCCCGUUCGCUGUGGUUCCAGGUCCAACUUUCCUGUCCCACUCACUCAUACUUCCAGACUCAUACCUCCCAGUGUUUCAAGUGGCCUAACUGGGCCAGAUGCUGACUCCGAGGGAUGGGGGAAUGAGAGACCCAAGGUGCAUGUCAUCAGCUGUUCCUGGUGAAUUAAGAAAACAAGUGACUGUUGCCGCUGAGGUUAUUUCUGCUUCUUCCAGAGUGCUAGACAAAUAUCAUAAACAACAGGAAUAUACUGCACGGUGCUGGUUACCAGUGCUAGGACGUCAAUUGCUAAAACAAACAACUCUGUCUCCCUUCCUCAUCUGAAAUGAAACAGAGAAACCAGCUGUUAAGGACAGAGAAAAAACCCAACUACAUUUCUGAUAAAUUUCAAUUGUAUGUCCAAUCUAGUUUAUGGAGGAAGAAACAUAAAAAUUUGUGUACAUUCUCUGCAUCAGAGAGAAAAAAGAUAGGAAAUGGAAAUGAAUGUAAAAGGUAGUUUCAGACCAUGUGCACACUGUGAUGAAAAAUAAAAUAUAUUUAAAUAUGUUGUUGCAAACUGGUUGUGUCCACACUAGACUUUUUUCUUAGGAUCUUCUGUCUUUCACUACAGACUAGUCAAUAGCACUUUAAAUACUUUGUGCUCUUAUUUGCACAUGCACCAUCAGGUGUGGGAAUGAGAGCUUUAUAUCACCAGAAUGUUUGGAAUCCAACAUUUCGAUGGGAGACAGGGCUUGUUUCUCUACCCGAUAGAUGACAAGAUAUUGGACCAUAAAAUCAUGACAAUAUGAUGCACAGAAAUUAUAGACAAUUUUUAAAGAUUUAUAAAUUAUAGAAGUUCUGGUUUUCUGUCCUUCCAAAGCCUUUAUGUUGAGACUAGUAGUACUAAGGCAAAUAGGCUUCACAGACAGAAAGUUGGUCAUAAUUUCUUCCCUGAGUUCUUCCUGGUGCAGCACAACUUUGUGCAGCUCUUUAUGCAGUGCUGUACCUCAAGGCAUGAUCUUGUCUUUCUGAAAUAAUCUCCCAAGGAAGUGAUUGAAUUCUGUUCACCAUAUAUAUUUAAAUCCAACCCCCUCCACCCCCACAUAAAUGUACAGUGGAGAACAGCUCUGCACUGUCAGGGAACUGGCCUAAAUAACCUAGUAGGAUUUUUCCACAUCUGUAUCCUGUGGGCCAGAUUUU